rnacentral:rRNA from 1 species
UACCAGCACCCCGAGUGGUCGGGACGAUUAUUGGGCCUAAAGCAUCCGUAGCCGGUCAUGCAAGUCCUCCGUUAAAUCCACCUGCUUAACAGAUGGGCUGCGGAGGAUACUACAAGGCUAGGAGGCGGAAGAGGCAAGCGGUACUCAGUGGGUAGGGGUAAAAUCCUCUGAUCCAUUGAAGACCACCAGUGGCGAAGGCGGCUUGCCAAUACGCGCUCGAUGGUGAGGGAUGAAAGCUGGGGGAGCAAACCGG